AAACGGCCAUAUGGAGAAACCCAGAUGGCAAGUGAUGAAAGGUGAACUCCAGCCAACAGCUAGGAAAAAACAGGCUUUCAGUCCAGAGCUCACAAGGAACCGAAUCUUGCCAGCAACCAAGUGAGCCUGGCACCAGUGCUUCUCCAGGAACACCUGUGUCUCAAAAUCACAAGAGUCACAGUAUAAAGACCAUGAAAAUAUAAGCCAAGCUAUUCACAGCACAUCCAACCACAAAAGGAUUAGUAUUCAUAAUAUAUGAAAAACUUCAAUGAAUCAGAAAGAAAAGCCCAAAAGAAACAAUGGAUUAAAGACUGAAUACGGGUUUCAUUUCACGAAAGAGGCUCAACAGCAGGGGCGUGUAGCUGUCUGAUGCCUAAUGCCGGGUGAAAGAGAAAGGAGUAACG